AGGCUGUGAUGAGCAAAAUCAUUUCUCUAUUCUGAUUUAUGUUUUCUUAUUCAAGACCAUACGCUAAUUUUGCGUUUAUUGCGUCGUGAUGACGGCAUUUGUGCGUGUCUGAGCCUU